rnacentral:rRNA from 1 species
AUGGCGCUUCGAACUCUUGCCGCGAGGACGAGGAGCGCCGCCCUGCAUCUGGCGCCGAGGUCCUCGCCGCCGGCGACCAUCGGCGCUUCUCCCUCCGCCCCACGCGCACACUACUUCUCGACGAGUGCUGUGGAGAUUGACCCCAUGAUUCUCAAGAAGCUGCUCGCCGAGCAGUUAAAUUGUUCUGGAAUCUCAAGCAAUUGCCUUCUGGAGAUCCAAACGGUGAAGUAUCUGCAGGCGCUCACUCUCAUAUUAAUUGUGUCUGGGGUUGGGGGUGUCUACUAUAUUGGACAGAAUCUGAUGGAUCGGGGGUCAGAGAUUACGGGGCAGCUGAAAAAGCAUGCCCCGGAAAUCUUGGGCGACAUCUGCAAUGAGGCUUUGUUCCAGAUGAAGAUACCAUUCAUCGGCAGCAAAGAAAGCCGGUUUGAAUUGAAGGACUACUGGUUUAACGACCCCAACAAGUCACUAAGCAGGCAAGAGCAGAGGGCGAGGCGUGCGUUGGCCAUACAAGAGAAGGACCGGAUCAGACGCGCAACCUGUGUAGCGUCAGUGACCAUGAAAUCUGCGAUCUCUGAUGUGAUAGGUGAAGACAUCUAUGAGGACCGAAGACAAUAUAAGAUAACGGCCAUCAAGCAUUUCCUGGCGCCGUUGCCGGGGAGCUAA